AUUGAACGCUGGCGGCAUGCCUUACACAUGCAAGUCGAACGGCAGCACGGGUGCUUGCACCUGGUGGCGAGUGGCGAACGGGUGAGUAAUACAUCGGAACAUGUCCUGUAGUGGGGGAUAGCCCGGCGAAAGCCGGAUUAAUACCGCAUACGAUCUACGGAUGAAAGCGGGGGACCUUCGGGCCUCGCGCUAUAGGGUUGGCCGAUGGCUGAUUAGCUAGUUGGUGGGGUAAAGGCCUACCAAGGCGACGAUCAGUAGCUGGUCUGAGAGGACGACCAGCCACACUGGGACUGAGACACGGCCCAGACUCCUACGGGAGGCAGCAGUGGGGAAUUUUGGACAAUGAGCGAAAGCCUGAUCCAGCAAUGCCGCGUGAGUGAAGAAGGCCUUCGGGUUGUAAAGCACUUUUGUCCGGAAAGAAAUCCUUGGCCCUAAUACGGUCGGGGGAUGACGGUACCGGAAGAAUAAGCACCGGCUAACUACGUG
rnacentral:rRNA from 1 species